rnacentral:tRNA from 1 species
AGCGGGGUAGGGCAGCCAGGUAGCCCGCUGGGCUCAUAACCCAGAGGUCGGUGGUUCAAAUCCACCCCCCGCUACCA